GACGGGUGAGUAACGCGUGGGUAACCUGCCUCAUACACAUGGAUAACAUACCGAAAGGUAUGCUAAUACAGGAUAACAUAAGAGAUUCGCAUGUUUCUCUUAUCAAAGCUCCGGCGGUAUGAGAUGGACCCGCGUCUGAUUAGCUAGUUGGUAAGGUAAUGGCUUACCAAGGCGACGAUCAGUAGCCGACCUGAGAGGGUGAUCGGCCACAUUGGAACUGAGACACGGUCCAAACUCCUACGGGAGGCAGCAGUGGGGAAUAUUGCACAAUGGGCGAAAGCCUGAUGCAGCAACGCCGCGUGAGUGAUGAAGGCCUUCGGGUCGUAAAACUCUGUCCUCAAGGAAGAUAAUGACGGUACUUGAGGAGGAAGCCCCGGCUAACUACGUGCCAGCAGCCGCGGUAAUACGUAGGGGGCUAGCGUUAUCCGGAUUUACUGGGCGUAAAGGGUGCGUAGGUGGUUUCUUAAGUCAGGAGUGAAAGGCUACGGCUUAACCGUAGUAAGCUCUUGAAACUGGGAAACUUGAGUGCAGGAGAGGAAAGUGGAAUUCCUAGUGUAGCGGUGAAAUGCGUAGAUAUUA
rnacentral:rRNA from 1 species